GCAACGCGUCUGAGUUCCUCUUAGGCUCAUGGUUGAGGAAGUGAAUAACUCCCAGGCGCUUCGUAUAUUCUGGACUUUAGUUGCUGGAUAGAAGAGGCUCUGUAUCACCACCAGCUCUUUGUGUCCAGCAUGGGCAACAGAAGCCUAUUCCCGGAGAAUGAAAGAGGGGAGCCUUGUAAAGAUCCAAGAGCAUCCUGGUAUAGGGAGCCACGGGUUCAAAGACACUGAGACUGUACCAGAGCAAGUGAUACAUAGGAUUUGAGAGUUCGGCUUAUUCCAAGGGCAAUGGCGUUGAAGGAUGAGAACCAAUCUGGUCCACAAGAAUUGGACCACUUUCAGGCCGAGAAGAAAACACCACGUAAGGGUAUAGAGGUGCCUUAUGGAGCGGCUGCAGAAGGGGCUGGCAAUCGGUCAGAUAUGGCUCUGGAAAUAAGGAGAAUGAAUGACCUCAGAUCAGAACUGGGUGCAUUUCCUGAUGAAACAGAUGUGAAGGCACAGGGCUGAGUGUCUGCACUCUCAAAACCUUCAGCUUCUCGCCAUCGUGGACCUAAAGAAACUUCCUUAGAGCCAGAUGCAGAACUAGACUUUCUUUGUCUGCAUGGAAGGAUUUCUCACUGGUCCUGUCUUCAUUCUUAAUGUAGAAGACAUCCAUAAGUGUUCACAGGGUCUCUAAAGAGACAGGACUUUGUCCUUCUGUACACAAAGUUUCUGGGGAGAAGGCGAAUGAAGGAUGCCAUCUGGAGUCCAGCAUCAAGAACUAUAAAAUUAAGAUUGCUUUACAUCCCCAUGUAAAAUGCCCCACCCUCCUGCUCCUCACUUGAGGUUCAUUUUGUGCUCAGAAUCUCUGGCCCCUGAAGGGUGUCUUGGAGCUGAUGCAUUGCCAGUGGCUCUGAGAACAGACCCCUUAGCAGUGGAUGAAAAUUACUCAGAAAUGGAUGGUGGCUGGAGACAGAGGCUGGAGCAAAUGACGACGUUGUGAAGACGUGAACUCCUCCUUACCUGUGCUGACACCUCACCAGAAAAGCCCAAAGAAAUGCCCACCUAGGCUAGUUGCCACAGCAACCUCUGAGUCACCUUUAGCCUCUAUUGUGUUGCCCCCAUUCUCUUGGUCAGUUCUGGACAUGUCCUCAGGAAUGGCUUGACCAUCCAUCUAAGCAGAGUGGUUCGGAAGUCCAGGCCCCUCCCUCUCCAGGUUCCUAGAGAGUAUGUGUCAAAGUCUGGCUGCAGAGGAGGUCUGUGGGGAGUGCUUAGUGACUCCCCAGCCAGCUUACCUCCUGUUCCAGCCCCCAAGAGUGACGCUUAAGGGGUACACAAAUGUGGUCUAAGUGGUAGGUUCUAAUCUCCGCUUUCAUCUGGGGAGAGGACCCUGGAAUAAAUGGAGCCCACUGAGACUUACAGCUGAAUGUCAAACGUCUGCUCCUCUAAAACCCCAUCUUCUCAUCAGGCAGCCUGAGCUGGGAGCCAUGAAUGCUCCAACCUGUACUUGGAUAGGAAAUGAUGUGUUUGGCCUUGGCUCUACAUGGUGAGUUGAGCCAAGGUUCACCAGCCUGAAGCUCAGCCGCCUGGUUUUCAUGCUACAACCUUCUCAAGCUGGAAUGUCAUAAGUAAUGAUCUGUGCUGGUAUCGAGUCACAGCUGACAAGAUGUUUCCAGUGUGGCUCCUGGGAGCCUGGGGGGCGGGUCCCACCUGGAAGAAGAUCUAGAUGCCCCUCACCCACUAACCACAGAUCAUGGAGGCCCCAGACCCACCAUCC